rnacentral:rRNA from 1 species
UUAAGCGACUAAGCGUACACGGUGGAUGCCCUGGCAGUCAGAGGCGAUGAAGGACGUGCUAAUCUGCGAUAAGCGCCGGUAAGGUGAUAUGAACCGUUAUAACCGGCGAUUUCCGAAUGGGGAAACCCAGUGUGAUUCGUCACACUAUCAUUAACUGAAUCCAUAGGUUAAUGAGGCGAACCGGGGGAACUGAAACAUCUAAGUACCCCGAGGAAAAGAAAUCAACCGAGAUUCCCCCAGUAGCGGCGAGCGAACGGGGAGGAGCCCAGAGCCUGAAUCAGCAUGUGUGUUAGUGGAAGCGUCUGGAAAGGCGCGCGAUACAGGGUGACAGCCCCGUACACAAAAGCGCAUGUGCUGUGAGCUCGAUGAGUAGGGCGGGACACGUGGUAUCCUGUCUGAAUAUGGGGGGACCAUCCUCCAAGGCUAAAUACUCCUGACUGACCGAUAGUGAACCAGUACCGUGAGGGAAAGGCGAAAAGAACCCCGGCGAGGGGAGUGAAAAAGAACCUGAAACCGUGUACGUACAAGCAGUGGGAGCACAGGUUUACCUGUGUGACUGCGUACCUUUUGUAUAAUGGGUCAGCGACUUAUAUUCUGUAGCAAGGUUAACCGUAUAGGGGAGCCGGAGGGAAACCGAGUCUUAAUUGGGCGUUAAGUUGCAGGGUAUAGACCCGAAACCCGGUGAUCUAGCCAUGGGCAGGUUGAAGGUUGGGUAACACUAACUGGAGGACCGAACCGACUAAUGUUGAAAAAUUAGCGGAUGACCUGUGGCUGGGGGUGAAAGGCCAAUCAAACCGGGAGAUAGCUGGUUCUCCCCGAAAGCUAUUUAGGUAGCGCCUCGUGAAUUCAUCUCCGGGGGUAGAGCACUGUUUCGGCUAGGGGGCCAUCCCGGCUUACCAACCCGAUGCAAACUGCGAAUACCGGAGAAUGUUAUCACGGGAGACACACGGCGGGUGCUAACGUCCGUCGUGAAGAGGGAAACAACCCAGACCGCCAGCUAAGGUCCCAAAGUCAUGGUUAAGUGGGAAACGAUGUGGGAAGGCCCAGACAGCCAGGAUGUUGGCUUAGAAGCAGCCAUCAUUUAAAGAAAGCGUAAUAGCUCACUGGUCGAGUCGGCCUGCGCGGAAGAUGUAACGGGGCUAAACCAUGCACCGAAGCUGCGGCAGCGACGCUUAUGCGUUGUUGGGUAGGGGAGCGUUCUGUAAGCCUGUGAAGGUGUGUCGUGAGGCAUGCUGGAGGUAUCAGAAGUGCGAAUGCUGACAUAAGUAACGAUAAAGCGGGUGAAAAGCCCGCUCGCCGGAAGACCAAGGGUUCCUGUCCAACGUUAAUCGGGGCAGGGUGAGUCGACCCCUAAGGCGAGGCCGAAAGGCGUAGUCGAUGGGAAACGGGUUAAUAUUCCCGUACUUGGUGUUACUGCGAAGGGGGGACGGAGAAGGCUAUGUUGGCCGGGCGACGGUUGUCCCGGUUUAAGCGUGUAGGUGUGUGUUCCAGGUAAAUCCGGUUCACUUUAACACUGAGGCGUGAUGACGAGGCACUACGGUGCUGAAGCAACAAAUGCCCUGCUUCCAGGAAAAGCCUCUAAGCAUCAGGUAACAUCAAAUCGUACCCCAAACCGACACAGGUGGUCAGGUAGAGAAUACCAAGGCGCUUGAGAGAACUCGGGUGAAGGAACUAGGCAAAAUGGUGCCGUAACUUCGGGAGAAGGCACGCUGACACGUAGGUGAAGUGAUUUACUCAUGGAGCUGAAGUCAGUCGAAGAUACCAGCUGGCUGCAACUGUUUAUUAAAAACACAGCACUGUGCAAACACGAAAGUGGACGUAUACGGUGUGACGCCUGCCCGGUGCCGGAAGGUUAAUUGAUGGGGUCAGCGCAAGCGAAGCUCCUGAUCGAAGCCCCGGUAAACGGCGGCCGUAACUAUAACGGUCCUAAGGUAGCGAAAUUCCUUGUCGGGUAAGUUCCGACCUGCACGAAUGGCGUAAUGAUGGCCAGGCUGUCUCCACCCGAGACUCAGUGAAAUUGAACUCGCUGUGAAGAUGCAGUGUACCCGCGGCAAGACGGAAAGACCCCGUGAACCUUUACUAUAGCUUGACACUGAACAUUGAGCCUUGAUGUGUAGGAUAGGUGGGAGGCUUUGAAGUGUGGACGCCAGUCUGCAUGGAGCCGACCUUGAAAUACCACCCUUUAAUGUUUGAUGUUCUAACGUGGACCCGUAAUCCGGGUUGCGGACAGUGUCUGGUGGGUAGUUUGACUGGGGCGGUCUCCUCCUAAAGAGUAACGGAGGAGCACGAAGGUUGGCUAAUCCUGGUCGGACAUCAGGAGGUUAGUGCAAUGGCAUAAGCCAGCUUGACUGCGAGCGUGACGGCGCGAGCAGGUGCGAAAGCAGGUCAUAGUGAUCCGGUGGUUCUGAAUGGAAGGGCCAUCGCUCAACGGAUAAAAGGUACUCCGGGGAUAACAGGCUGAUACCGCCCAAGAGUUCAUAUCGACGGCGGUGUUUGGCACCUCGAUGUCGGCUCAUCACAUCCUGGGGCUGAAGUAGGUCCCAAGGGUAUGGCUGUUCGCCAUUUAAAGUGGUACGCGAGCUGGGUUUAGAACGUCGUGAGACAGUUCGGUCCCUAUCUGCCGUGGGCGCUGGAGAACUGAGGGGGGCUGCUCCUAGUACGAGAGGACCGGAGUGGACGCAUCACUGGUGUUCGGGUUGUCAUGCCAAUGGCACUGCCCGGUAGCUAAAUGCGGAAGAGAUAAGUGCUGAAAGCAUCUAAGCACGAAACUUGCCCCGAGAUGAGUUCUCCCUGAGACUUAGAGUCUCCUGAAGGAACGUUGAAGACGACGACGUUGAUAGGCCGGGUGUGUAAGCGCAGCGAUGCGUUGAGCUAACCGGUACUAAUGAACCGUGAGGCUUAACCUU